GCUCCUCUUUCUCUGCUCCAGCGGCGAUGAACGACAAAGCUCUCCCCCUUCUUCUCAAGCACAGCAGCCCUUGUUUCCCCCUCCCCGCACCUUUUCUCCUCCUCCAGUAAGGGGAGAGCGUUGUUUUUCUCUGGCCACUAGCCUUUGCUUCCUCUUCUCUGCUUCUCGGCAGCACCGUCAGAGCUCCUCGAAGUGUGUCGGAGCCCGCCGGACCACCAGAAAAGAGGGGAAAAUAAAGUCCUAGUUGCUGCCCUCUUUUCUAGCCAAACACAACAGCUAUCGGAGCUAGCUGUGGUCUUCGCCGGAACUCGCCGAGACCAUUGGUGAAAAAGAGGAAAAGCAGCCCUAGCUGUUGUCCUUUUCUUGGCAGCACUGUCGGAGUUCGCCGGAGCUCGCCGGAGCUAGCUGAGGCGGCCAACAACGAAAAGAAAACAACCCUAGUUGUUGUCCUCAUUUCCAGCAGCCACACAAAAUCCUUAGAAGAUAUGAGCUUGAGUGGAGCACGGUGACCUGACGACACUUGAAGAUUUUUGCUGUACAUAAGGGUGUAACAGGCGAAGUCCAAUUUGCCAACCACCCUGCCCUUACCAAGGCACGGUAGUCACUGCUGGUGCUUAUAUCGGAAUAACUCAUGAUCGGAACCACCCCAAAGCUACAAUUUCCACCUGGAAAGUUCACAUGUCCGAGAUCGCACUCGCCUCCGAAGAACACCAGACUGGUAUAGCCCAGGACAAGUGAAGUUUUGAUAGCUCAGUAGGCCAUAUCCGUACCAGCGCAAUCGAAGAGGAAGAAGAUACGCUUGUUAGAAGAGCUAUCGCGAAAAGGAUGGAGAUACAAAGCGGAAUUCGAGAAAAGUGCUAUGCAUGGAUCGUCGUCGGCCAGAGUAAAUUGAGCUGAGUCGUAGGAGAUGCUGUCGAUAAGAUAAGUGAAGUCAGAAACUGAAAGAGCAAGAGCUCAAGUUUGGUCGGUGCAGUUAAGGGCAAAUCGCGGAAGGCCGCAUGCAGAAGGAUGGCUGCUGCCCUUGGAGCCACAAGGGGAACUGAAUCGAGUGAUUCCCACAUCUUUGAGGAACGCAAUCAUCGAACAUGGAAGAGGAGGCAAUGGCUGUUGGUGCUUCCUUCACCGAAGAAAUAAUUAGGCAGAAAGAGCAGGAUCCGCAUGGUGAAGGAAGGGAGUCUCCAGUCUUGAGAGAGUAUAAGAAUCACGGGAGAGGAGGAGCUAAGUUUGCAAGUAGUCAAGAGUGCAUGAACGUAAGAGUCAAACGGAUAUUGAUUUUCUUAUGCCAAAUUAUUCUAAUUUGGACAACCAAAACACGUUAGAAUAAGUAGCGUGCUGAUUCUUCAGAUGCAGUGGUGGCAAAGAAGGUGUUUAGUUGUUUAGCUUGUCAUAGUUCAUCAUCCACUGAUUUGAUCUCUACCGUACCAUUUUCUUUUCUUUUCUUUACCAUGUGGGCUUCUUGAAGUCUUCCCAAGCAGUCCCUGUCGU